rnacentral:RNase_P_RNA from 1 species
CCAGACGGCCGGGCAGCCGCUGGUGCGCGGGUAACUGCGUACUGGAGGAAAGUCCGGGCUCCAGGGAAACAGGGCGACGGCUAACGGCCGCCCGGCGUGAGCCGAGGGAAAGUGCCACAGAAAGCAAACCGCCCGUCCGCUUCGGCCGACGGGUAAGGGUGAAAGGGUGCGGUAAGAGCGCACCGGGGCUUCGGCAACGCGGCCCGCAUGGCAAACCCCACCCGGAGCAAGGCCGAAUAGGGGCGGCGCGCCCGCGCAAGCGGGCAGGUGCGUUUCGCAUCGACCGCCCGGGUUGGCUGCUUGAGCUUCGGAGCAAUCCGAAGCCUAGACGAAUGGCUGCCCCCGCGUGGCUGGUGUGCAAGCAUACCGCGCGCGGGACAGAACCCGGCUUACAGGCCCCCUGGCAAU